CCGAUAGCGGAUAGUACCGUGAGGGAAUGGUGAAAAGUACCGCGGGAGCGGAGUGAAAUAGUACCUGAAACCGUGUGCCUACAAGCCGUGGGAGCGUCGGAUGCGGGCUUGUCCUGCAUCUCGUGACUGCGUGCCUUUUGAAGAAUGAGCCUGCGAGUUUGCGGUGUGUAGCGAGGUUAACCCGUGUGGGGUAGCCGUAGCGAAAGCGAGUCCGAA
rnacentral:rRNA from 1 species